rnacentral:rRNA from 1 species
CUACGGAGGGUGCAAGCGUUAUUCGGAAUCACUGGGCGUAAAGGACGCGUAGGCGGGUUGGCAAGUCAGAUGUGAAAUCCUACAGCUUAACUGUAGAACUACAUUUGAAACUGCUAACCUAGAGUAUGGGAGGGGGAGAUGGAAUUAGUGGUGUAGGGGUAAAAUCCGUAGAUAUCACUAGGAAUACCGAAAGCGAAGGCGAUCUCCUGGAACAUAACUGACGCUAAGGCGUGAAAGCGUGGGGAGCAAACAGGAUUAGAAACCCUUGUAGUCC